AAACUAUAGGACUAGAGGCUGGGAGAGGUACACGGAAUUGUCGGUGUAGGGGUAAAAUCCGUUAAUAUCGACAAGAACACCGAAGGCGAAGGCAGUGUACUGGAACAGUUCUGACGCUCAGGGACGAAAGCGUGGGUAGCGAAUGGGAUUAGAUACCCCAGUAGUCCACGCCCUAAACGAUGAAUGCUAGGUAUUGGGAGUAUCGACCCUCUCAGUGCCGUUGAACCAAGCUAACGCGUUAAGCAUUCCGCCUGUGUAGUACGGCCGCAAGGCUAAAACAUAAAGGAAUAGACGUGGACCCGCACAAGCGGUGGAGCGUGCGGUUUAAUUCGAUGAUAAGCGAGGAACCUUACCUGGGCUUAAAUUCUAGCUGCACGCCUUCCGAAAGGAAGGAAGCCUUCGAGGGUGCUAGAAAGGUGCUGCAUGGUUGUCGUCAGCUCGUGGCGUGAGCUGUUCCCUUAAGUGGGGUAACGAGCGCAACCCUUGUCCUGUGUUACACUUUCACAGGAGACUGCCCGGGCAACCGGGAGGAAGGUGAGGAUGACGUCAAAUCAGCAUGGCCCUUACGUCCAGGGCGACACGCGCGCUACAAUGGCUGGUACAAUGGGUUGCCAAACCGCAAGGUGGAGCUAAUCCCACAAAGCCAGUCUCAGUUCGGAUUGGAGGCUGCAACUCGCCUCCAUGAAGUUGGAAUCGCUAGUAACGGCAAAUCAGCCACGUUGCCGUGAAUACGUUCUCGGGUCUUGUACUCACCGCCCGUCACGUCAAGAGAGUUGGUAACACCCGAACGUCGCCGUAGGGCGCCGGAAGGUGGGACUGAUAGAUAGGGACGAAGUCGUAACAAGGUA
rnacentral:rRNA from 1 species